rnacentral:rRNA from 1 species
UUCCGGUUGAUCCUGCCGGAGGCGACCGCUAUUGGAAUUCGAUUAAGCCAUGCGAGUCGAGAGUCCUCGGGACUCGGCAUACUGCUCAGUAACACGUGGAUAACCUGCCCUGUUCUAGGGGAUAACCUCGAGAAAUUGAGAAUAAUACCCUAUAGUCCACUACGCCUGGAACGGUGAGUGGAUAAAAGCUCCGGCGGAACAGGAUGGGUCUGCGGCAUAUCAGGUAGUAGUGGGUGUAAUGGACCCACUAGCCUUCGACGUGUACGGGUGUUGGGAGACAUAGCCCGGAGAUGGAUUCUGAGACACGAAUCCAGACCCUACGGGGUGCAGCAGGCGCGAAAACUUCACACUGCGGGAAACCGCGAUGAGGGAAUUCCAAGUGUCUGGGGUAAGACCCAGUCUUUUCUUGACUCUUAAUAGGUCUUGGAAUAAGGGGGGGGUAAGACCGGUGCCAGCCGCCGCGGUAAUACCGGCCCCCCAAGUGGUCGUCACUUUUAUUGGGCCUAAAACGUCCGUAGCCGGUUUAGUAAACCCGUGGGUAAAUCAACCAGCUUAACUGGUUGAAUUCUGCGGAGACUGCUAGACUAGGGACCGGGAGAGGUACGAGGUACUCUUGGGGUAGGGGUAAAAUCCUGUCAUCCCAGGGGGACCACUUGUUGCGAAGGCGUCGUACUAGAACGGAUCCGACGGUCAGGGACGAAGCCUAGGGGCACGAACCGGAUUAGAUACCCGGGUAGUCCUAGGUGCAAACGCUGUGGACUUGGUGUUGGGGAUUCCAUGAGGGUUUCCAGUGCCGAAGCGAAGGUGUUAAGUCCACUGCCUGGGGAGUACGGUCGCAAGGCUGAAACUUAAAGGAAUUGGCGGGGGAGCACUGCAACGAGAGGAGCGUGCGGUUAAUUGGAUUCACGCCGGG